rnacentral:misc_RNA from 1 species
GUGCGAUACUGGCACCUUGUGAAAUGAGUUAUUGAAUUUAUAAUUCUUUCUCUGUUUUUUAAGUCCUUUUUGAGUGGUUUCCGCAUACUUUGAUUCAGAAGGCAGAUAAGGAAUGAAAGGAGCAUAACUGUUAGCAGUUGAAGCCACUCAAAACAACAUUAUGAUCACGUAUUACAUUGGCAAGACGAUUAUAUCCAAAAAAGUAGAAAAGAUUUAUUCGUAGGAGUUGUGCAUAUAUUGAAGGAGCAAUCAUCUCCAGAAACUUGCAUGAUGCAUCUCACUGACAAUGAUAAAUUGGUCUAUAUUUUACUUUUUGUGGGGUAGAAAUGCUGAGCUAAAGCAUAACUAUUUUUUAUUUGUCUAAUUUUCACAUCUGUAUUUGAUUAUCUAGGUCUUUAGAGGGAUUCACUGUUCUUUGCUGGUAAAUCUUCAUAAGCAUGGCUGCUUUAUUGUUAUUCUGUGAGCAUAUCAGAAUGUGGUGCUUCUGAUCAAGUAACCCAGAGAAAUAUAGUUAAUAUUAGUUCUUCAUAUUUACUCUUGCAAGACUAGGCCAAAAGUUUAAAGUUACAGGGCAAAUAUGGGCAAUGAUGAAGAUAUUUAGGGGCCCAGCACAUACAGGAAACACACUGCCAUUCUAUAGUAUGCAAAAGAUGACCUUAAUAUGUUAUUUUCUGUUGAGUAUUGGAUGAGAAUGGGGGGAAAAAGAAAUAGUUGUUGAUUAUGUGACUUGAUUACCUUUAUUACCAUAAGCAGGUGGGUAAUUGAGACACCUCAAAUAUCUUUUUUUGAGUUAUUUCUUUAUGGUUAGAUCCUAUCUUAUUCUGAUAAUUUCUCUGGUGUAUUCUGUUCUUCCUGCCUACUUUUAUCUCCUUAUUUUGGUGCAAAACAAGGAAGCAUAUCUUUAACUUUUUCUCUUUGUAUGUAUCUUACUGGCUCACCAUGCAG